rnacentral:lncRNA from 10 species
GGGCCCGCGCAUGCGUGGAUUGUCGUCUUCUGUCCAAGUUGGUCGCUUCCCUGCGCCAAAGUGAGCAGUAGCCAACAUGUCAGGGUGGGAGUCAUAUUACAAAACCGAGGGCGAUGAAGAAGCAGAGGAAGAACAAGAAGAGAACCUUGAAGCAAGUGGAGACUAUAAAUAUUCAGGAAGAGAUAGUUUGAUUUUUUUGGUUGAUGCCUCCAAGGCUAUGUUUGAAUCUCAGAGUGAAGAUGAGUUGACACCUUUUGACAUGAGCAUCCAGGUAAGACUACCUUUUAAUUUAAGACAAAUUUAAAAACAGUAUUGGCUGGGCAUGGUGGCGGCUCAUGCCUGUAAUCUCAGGACAUUGG